GAGUAAUUGAGACUGCCAGACGGUAAGCUGAGAACAAGGUGAUUAUAUGGGCUUAAGCCUAAUAGGCGCAGCUCUGAGGAGCAAGUCUGGCUCUUGCAAAGCUCUAGCCAAAUAAAGCCUCUGAGUGGGAGUUAAAGAAGGAAGGUUUAUCCACAGAAAAGGUAAAGCACCAGCUGUCGCAGAAAGGACUUUUUCCCUAAAAGGAUUUAGACAGGUCUGGCAAAUCUUAGACUGUAGAGGUUAGAAGUGGUGGAUGUUAAAACUGAAUCCUGAAAGGGAAGAAACCAGAACACUUCCUUAGGUCAUGACUGAUGCCAUCUGGGAAGUAAAGAGAUCCCAUCUAUUUCUGUAGCUUGUAUUUUUUGCGCUGAAAUAAUUAAAAUGCUUAAUUUCAGAAUUUCUCUCUUGCCCUAAUGUAUCAUCUCAUUAGGCAAUCCAAUGUGAAUGACAGAAAGUAAUUCAUUUAAUUGUAUUAGCAUUUUUUAUUAUGAAACCACAUUGGAAUUGUGUAUAAUUUGAUAUAUUAAGUUUUCUGUCAUUUAUUUUACUUAAUAUUAUUUUCUUUAUCAUUUAUUUAUAUAUUCUCUCUAGCUUGUUUUUGAAUCAACUCAAAAAUGCAAUA